rnacentral:rRNA from 1 species
UACGAAGGGGGCUAGCGUUGUUCGGAUUUACUGGGCGUAAAGCGCACGUAGGCGGACUAUUAAGUCAGGGGUGAAAUCCUGGAGCUCAACUCCAGAACUGCCUUUGAUACUGGAGAGCUUGAGUCCGGGAGAGGUGAGUGGAACUCCGAGUGUAGAGGUGAAAUUCGUAGAUAUUCGGAAGAACACCAGUGGCGAAGGCGGCUCACUGGCCCGGUACUGACGCUGAGGUGCGAAAGCGUGGGGAGCAAACAGG